rnacentral:rRNA from 1 species
UCACCUACGGGACGCAGCAGUGGGGAAUAUUGGACAAUGGGCGAAAGCCUGAUCCAGCAAUGCCGCGUGAGUGAUGAAGGCCUUAGGGUUGUAAAGCUCUUUUACCCGGGAUGAUAAUGACCGUACCGGGAGAAUAAGCUCCGGCUAACUCCGUGCCAGCAGCCGCGGUAAUACGGAGGGAGCUAGCGUUGUUCGGAAUUACUGGGCGUAAAGCGCACGUAGGCGGCUUUGUAAGUCAGAGGUGAAAGCCU